UACGUAUGGUGCAAGCGUUAUCCGGAUUUACUGGGUGUAAAGGGAGCGCAGGCGGUGCGGCAAGUCUGAUGUGAAAGCCCGGGGCUCAACCCCGGUACUGCAUUGGAAACUGUCGUACUAGAGUGUCGGAGGGGUAAGCGGAAUUCCUAGUGUAGCGGUGAAAUGCGUAGAUAUUAGGAGGAACACCAGUGGCAAAGGCGGCUUACUGGACGAUAACUGACGCUGAGGCUCGAAAGCGUGGGGAGCAAACAGG
rnacentral:rRNA from 1 species